rnacentral:rRNA from 1 species
AUUGAACGCUGGCGGCAGGCCUAACACAUGCAAGUCGAGCGGAUGAAGGGAGCUUGCUCCUGGAUUCAGCGGCGGACGGGUGAGUAAUGCCUAGGAAUCUGCCUGGUAGUGGGGGAUAACGUCCGGAAACGGGCGCUAAUACCGCAUACGUCCUGAGGGAGAAAGUGGGGGAUCUUCGGACCUCACGCUAUCAGAUGAGCCUAGGUCGGAUUAGCUAGUUGGUGGGGUAAAGGCCUACCAAGGCGACGAUCCGUAACUGGUCUGAGAGGAUGAUCAGUCACACUGGAACUGAGACACGGUCCAGACUCCUACGGGAGGCAGCAGUGGGGAACAUUGGACAAAGGGCGAAAGCCUGAUCCAGCCAUGCCGCGUGUGUAAAGAAGGUCUUCGGAUUGUAAAGCACUUUAAGUUGGGAGGAAGGGCAGUAAGUUAAUACCUUGCUGUUUUGACGUUACCAACAGAAUAAGCACCGGCUAACUUCGUG